rnacentral:lncRNA from 1 species
GAUCUCCUGGAAAGCGGGUGGAGGCUGCCCCUCCUCCAGCACUCCCUCUCCCUCCUCCUCCCCCCAAUUCUCCCACUUCAUUCUCCCUCCCUCCCCAAACCCCAGCACCUCCCCUCCAGCUGUCCAAUGAUCCCCAGUCCCUCCCUAGCACAGGGCACAUCAGCUCCUAUGAAUAUACUAUCUCCCUCACUGGCUAGUAUUGAUUGGCAUCUUGGUCCUACACCAAACCAGUAAGUUCUUCACAUAGUCUAACUUCCAUGCCUUCAGUUACAGCAGAUGAUUUUCAUUAUUCUGCCAAUAAUGAAACUGGAAACCAACCCGGUCUGUAAACAAGCCACCCCACCAAAGGAGUCUUCCUUUCCAUCCCUCAGCAUUCUCCCUUUGCAAGCCUUUCACCCACUUAAGAUCCCCAUAAUUCAGCAAGCCGAAAGUGAAAUCUAUUUCACAAGCAUUAGCGGCUCCCCACCCCCAUUACUCCUUCUGCCGAGCCCCAGAUGGUCCUCUCUCCCCAAGCCCUCCACCCACUCCCUUUGGCACUUGAAGGGAGGCUCCCUUUUAAGACCUUCUGGGGCCUUCAGCUCCUUCUCCCUGUUGCUGAGUGAGCACUGGACAGGGGUCUAGACCCCCCCCCCACUUCCCCUCCAAGUGUUCACCUCCACUCUAGGGUUUUCCUCUCAGAGGAAAGUUCCUCUCCAAGUCUAACCUUAAUUCCUCCUGCUGCAAGCCUAAAUUCCCUUUCCAUCUUUUCUCCAUGGGAUCAUUCCCUUUGGAUUAGAAAUGAAAUCUUCCUCUCGCGUUUGCAGCCUCCCCUCCCCGCCGCGCCUCUCCACUUUCCCAGACCCUCAAACCUGCCCCAGCUUGAAAAAGUUCUUGGUAACGGCUCCCAACACCCACUGCCUGCUCUGAACUCCGAAGAUACCUGGGUAUCCGCCCCGGCUGUCUGUCGCCCAGGACAGUGACCGGGCCACGGAGUGGCUCGCUCGCCCGGAGGCGGUGACCCCUGCAGCCGCUGGCUCAGCCACGACGGGGUUAAGGCUCCGGGCUGGGGGAG